rnacentral:rRNA from 1 species
UACGGAGGUGGCAAGCGUUGCUCGGAAUCACUGGGCGUAAAGGGCGCGUAGGCGGCCUGUUAAGUCGAACGUGAAAUCCCCGGGCUCAACCCGGGAACUGCGUCCGAUACUGGCAGGCUUGAAUUCGGGAGAGGGAUGUGGAAUUCCAGGUGUAGCGGUGAAAUGCGUAGAUAUCUGGAGGAACACCGGUGGCGAAGGCGGCAUCCUGGACCGAUAUUGACGCUGAUGCGCGAAAGCCAGGGGAGCAAACGGG